rnacentral:tRNA from 1 species
UGGCUGAGUGGUAAAGCGUUGGGCUUCCGAACCUGAGGUCCAGGGUUCGAAUCCUGG